CUUGCUGUUUUUUCUUCUCUCGUUAAAGACUUACUGGUGAAGGUCUGGAAGGAUUCCCGGAAGCUGCGUAAGCUUUAAGUCUUUUUGCGAGGCUCUACUGUUAAUUGCUGGUGUAAUGAUUUCAAUUGCAGCAAGGAAGCAAAUUGACCAUGUUAAGUCUUCUAUGUCAGACAGAUUUUUAUUCUUCUCCUUGUGGGGGAAAAUUCAGGAGAAAACUAAACGUAGAGAAAAGCUAAUGUAGCUUGGAACUUACCAUCAAGAUCUAAACCGACUGCUCGCAUUGAGCCCAUUUUGCAUUGGCUCUACUGCCACAAACUACUAUUGCCACCUACUAUUUUUUUUCUACUUCAUAUUCAAUUAUUAUCAGCAAAACUACCCAACAACAGCUCGAAGAGGUUUUAUUGAUAGACGCGACAUGCGGAUGCAAUUUGGUUCCAGGGAAUAUCUAGUAUAUCUUAAGGAUCAAUAAGUGGAGCGUGAUGUAACAUUUUCGCUGGAAAGAAGCGAAAAAGAAGCUGUACUGUCCAUGACAUACCUAGUGAAUAUCAAUGUCCUAGUUAUAUAUCUCAUGUUUUUGGAGGUUUAUGUGCAGAAGUAACCUGAAUCUGUUGCUUUCACUUCAUGGAAAGAAGGACUAGUUCCAAAUAAGGAAUCCAAUCAACUUGCUUCUCUGGACACCAAAGCAUAGGCAACAAAUUCUGAAAAACCAACUUGCUUCUCCAGAUACCAAGGCACAGGUUUCUUCUUUGGUAUUACCUGAAUGUCAAUGGGGAAUCUUAAGACAGUGUCUGAUAGAGCAGCAUCAUACAUAUCAUAUGGACGUCCUUCAUAUAAAUCAUCAAGCCUCUUCUCCCACCGAUGUAGAGC